rnacentral:rRNA from 1 species
UACGUAGGGUGCGAGCGUUGUCCGGAAUUAUUGGGCGUAAAGAGCUCGUAGGCGGUCUGUCGCGUCGGUCGUGAAAACUUGGGGCUUAACCCUGAGCUUGCGGUCGAUACGGGCAUGACUGGAGUUCGGCAGGGGAGACUGGAAUUCCUGGUGUAGCGGUGAAAUGCGCAGAUAUCAGGAGGAACACCGAUGGCGAAGGCAGGUCUCUGGGCAUUAACUGACGCUGAGGAGCGAAAGCAUGGGGAGCGAACAGG